AUUGAACGCUGGCGGCAGGCCUAACACAUGCAAGUCGAACGGUAACAGGAAGAAGCUUGCUUCUUUGCUGACGAGUGGCGGACGGGUGAGUAAUGUCUGGGAAACUGCCUGAUGGAGGGGGAUAACUACUGGAAACGGUAGCUAAUACCGCAUAACGUCGCAAGACCAAAGAGGGGGACCUUCGGGCCUCUUGCCAUCGGAUGUGCCCAGAUGGGAUUAGCUAGUAGGUGGGGUAACGGCUCACCUAGGCGACGAUCCUUAGCUGGUCUGAGAGGAUGACCAGCCACACUGGAACUGAGACACGGUCCAGACUCCUACGGGAGGCAGCAGUGGGGAAUAUUGCACAAUGGGCGCAAGCCUGAUGCAGCCAUGCCGCGUGUAUGAAGAAGGCCUUCGGGUUGUAAAGUACUUUAAGCGGGGAGGAAGGGAGUAAAGUUAAUACCUUUGCUCAUUGACGUUACCCGCAGAAGAAGCACCGGCUAACUCCGUG
rnacentral:rRNA from 1 species